rnacentral:rRNA from 1 species
CCUACGGGAGGCAGCAGUGGGGGAUAUUGCACAAUGGGGGGAACCCUGAUGCAGCGACGCCGCGGGGGUGAAGAAGGGCCUCGGCGCGGAAAGCCCUGUCAGCAGGGAAGAAAAUGACGGUACCUGAAGAGGAAGCCCCGGCUAACUACGGGCCAGCAGCCGCGGUAAUACGUAGGGGGGAAGCGUUAGCCGGAUUUACUGGGUGUAAAGGGGGCGCAGACGGCGCUGCAAGCAAGGUGUGAAAGCCCGGGGCCCACCCCCGGGACUGCUCUUGGAACUGCGUGGCUGGAGUGCAGGAGGGGCAGGCGGACUUCCUGUUGUAGCGGUGAACUGCGUAGCUAUCAG